UACGAAGGGGGCAAGCGUUGUUCGGAAUCACUGGGCGUAAAGCGCACGUAGGCGGAUCGAUAAGUCGGGGGUGAAAGCCCGAGGCUCAACCUCGGAACUGCCUUCGAUACUGCCGAUCUGGAGUCCGGGAGAGGUGAGUGGAACUCCUAGUGUAGAGGUGAAAUUCGUAGAUAUUAGGAAGAACACCAGUGGCGAAGGCGGCUCACUGGCCCGGUACUGACGCUGAUGUGCGAAAGCGUGGGGAGCAAACAGG
rnacentral:misc_RNA from 1 species